rnacentral:rRNA from 1 species
UGCAGUCGAACGCGAAGUCACUUCGGUGGCGAGUAGAGUGGCGGACGGGUGAGUAACGCGUGGGAAUCUACCUUGUAGUGGGGGACAACCCGAGGAAACUCGGGCUAAUACCGCAUACGUCCUACGGGAGAAAGGGGGCCUCUGAUUCAAGCUCCCGCUACAAGACGAGCCCGCGUCGGAUUAGCUAGUUGGUAGGGUAAAAGCCUACCAAGGCAACGAUCCGUAGCUGGUCUGAGAGGAUGAUCAGCCACACUGGGACUGAGACACGGCCCAGACUCCUACGGGAGGCAGCAGUGGGGAAUUUUCCGCAAUGGGCGAAAGCCUGACGGAGCAAUACCGCGUGAGGGAGGAAGGCCUUUGGGUUGUAAACCUCAAAAAUUAGGGAAGAAAAAAAUGACGGUACCUAAAAUAAGCAUCGGCUAACUCCGUGCCAGCAGCCGCGGUAAUACG